GUAUUGUAGAAUGUAGAUUGGUAUCUGCAUUAUUAAAGUUCAUAGGACUUACUACUGACUCACUUUUCUUUUUUUAAUCAUUAGCCUUAUGCAGCUCUCAAAGCUAGAGAAUAUCUUGAUAAGCCUGCAAUACAUGAGACAAUGGUGAAGGUUAGCGCUUAUCUGCUUGGAGAAUACAGCCAUCUUUUGGCUAGACGACCUGGGUGUAGCCCAAAGGACAUUUUUGUCAUUAUACAUGAGAAGCUUCCUACUGUAUCGACUCCAACAAUAUCCAUUCUUCUCUCAACAUACGCAAAGAUUUUGAUGCACUCUCAACCACCAGAUCCCGAAUUACAAAACCAGACCUGGGCAAUAUUCAGC